CACUCCUACGGGAGGCAGCAGUGGGGAAUUUUACGCAAUGGGGGAAACCCUGACGUAGCGACACCGCGUGAGCGAAGAAGCCCUUUGGGGUGUAAAGCUCUGUCAGCUGGAACGAAAACAAUGACGGUACCAGCAGAGGAAGCAUCGGCUAACUACGUGCCAGCAGCCGCGGUAAGACGUAGGAUGCGAGCGUUGUCCGGAUUUAUUGGGCGUAAAGAGUUCGUAGGUGGUUUGUUAAGUUUGGUGUUAAAGAUCGGGGCUCAACCCUGGGACUGCACUGAAUACUGGCAGACUCGAGGGUGGUAGAGGCUAGUGGAAUUCCCAGUGUAGCGGUGAAAUGCGUAGAUAUUGGGAAGAACACCGGUGGCGUAGGCGACUAGCUGGGCCAUAACUGACGCUGAGGAACGAAAGCCAGGGGAGCGAAUGGGAUUAGAUACCCUGGUAGUCCCAUGA
rnacentral:rRNA from 1 species